rnacentral:lncRNA from 1 species
CACUCUCCACCAAAAAAAAAAAAAAAGUGGGGAGGAAUUGGGGAGUUAUAGCUCUGUGGUAAAGCACCUCUGGGUUCUACCCCCAAUACUGGGAGAUUCCAUUUGCUUUACAAAAUUUAUCUAAAUUCUCAUCCAUUGCUGGUAGAAGUAUAAAUUAUUAAAACCACUUUAGAAAAUAAUUGGGCAUUAUCAACUAAGAUUGAACAUGUACCUAGCUAAUCUAUGGCCCAGCAGUUCCAUAUCAUAAGGAAAUUAAUUUUUGCUCAUAGUAAUAGAAGUCAUGAAUGAAAAUGUUCAUGGUAGCAGAAGUCCAGGUUAAAGUUAGUGAUACCAGUUCAUAUUCUAGAAUGAUUUAAAAAUUAAAAAUAAACUAAAAUAUGUGAACACAAAGAAUCUUCAGAAUAUUCUUAAUGAAAAAAGUUGAAAUAAUAAACGUCUCCUUUAAAGAAAAAAAAAAGUUGCAAACAUAGUGAAUCUAAAAACCAUGCCAAGAGCCUGGCACAGUGAUGUAUACCUAUAAUCCUAGGUACUUCAGAGGCUGAGGUAGGAAGAUCACAAGUUUACAGUCAGCCUAGGCAACUUGGCACAAGACUGUCUCAAAAAAGGACUGGGGGUGACAUUCAGUGGUACAGCACCCUUGAGUUCAAUUCCCAGUACUAUACACACAAAAAAAUCUGCCAAGUCAAAAGCCAUACAUGGGCUGGGGCUCAGUGGUAGAGCGCUUGCCUAGCAUGCUGAGGCACUGGGUUUGAUCCUCAGCACCACAUUAAAAAAAAAAUUAAAGGCAUUCUGUCCAUCUACAAUUACAAGAUUUAAAAAAAAAAAAAAAGCCAUUCACAAGAGAAUAUGUAUCAUAUGAUUCCAUUUAUAUGAAAUUCUAGAAUGAACAUAAGGAACUAUAAAGAACACAUCAUGUUGCCUGCAGCCAACUAAGGAAGAGAGGGUGACUUUAGAGAACAUUUUGGGAUAAGGAAAUGUUGAUUGAGAUGCCAGUAAAUGGGUAUAUUGUUAAAAUUCAUGCAUCCAAGCCAGGCUGGUGGGGCAUGCCUAUAAUCCCAGUGACUUGCAAUUUAGCAAGACCCUGUCUCAAAAUAAAAUACUUAAAAAUGGAGCUCAGUGGUAAACCACCUCUAGGUUCAAUUCCCCAUACCACCACCAAUAAGUUAUCCAAAUUCAUUUGUCUUAUACAUUUAAGUGAAUUUUCUUUAUUUUUUAUACAAAUUCAACCUCAGUAAAGUUCAUUUUAACUUGUUGGGCUGGAGAUAUAGCUCAGUGUUAAACCACUUACCUCACAUUUGCAAGGCCCUGGGUUCAAUCCCUGGCACUGCAAAAGAAAACAGUUUGCUGAGGAAUUCAAAAAGUAUUUUUCCAUUUGUAUAAAGCUCAAAACUAGACAAAGUUAAGCAUCUUGUUUAGGAUAACACAUGAUAGAACAAUGAAGAGUAAGAGGAUUACUGGCAAAUGAAGGUUUGUGGUGGUGGCAAUUAGGAAUGAGUAUAUAGGACUUCAGAGUCUGAUUGCCAUUUCAUAAAGUGAAUAUUGGGUAUAGGUGUUCAUCUUGGUCUUUAUAAUUACUUAAAAUGUGCAUAUGUUACCUGUGGUCUGUGAAAAUAGUUCACAAUGGAAGUUUCUGGUAGAGUUAAACAACAAAGGGCCAGGGAAGUAGCUUGUGGUAGAGCACUUCCUAGCAUAUGAAUGAGUUUCUGGGUUCAAUCCCAGCCAGUAGGGUGGGGGGUGAGGUUACAAUAAAAAUUAUACCAUGGCAUAUACCUGUAAUCCCAGUGAUUUGGGAGGCUGAGGCAGAGGGAUGGAUUCCAAAUUUGGGGCCAGCCUGCCUUGCUAAUGUCUCAAAAAAAAAGAGUUGGGAAUGUGGCUCAAUGAUAAUGCACUUCUGAGUCCAGUUCCCACUACAAAAGGAAAAC